rnacentral:other from 1 species
UUAUCCCUGCCCUGUGCGUGUCUUAAGGUGAUAAACUUGAGCCAACAGCUAAUUAAAAGGGAGCUCGGAGUUUACCCUGACCGUGGUCGGGGUAACAGGGCACCCACCUGGGAAACCGGGUUCAAGGUAUAUCAUCUUACACGGCAGUGGCGGGGAUUUU